GGAUGCGAUCAUACCAGCACUAAAGCAUCGGAUCCCAUCAGAACUCCAAAGUUAAGCGUGCUUGGGCGAGAGUAGUAAUAGGAUGGGUGACCUCCUGGGAAGUCCUUGUGUUGCAUUCC
rnacentral:rRNA from 1 species